AGCUCCAAGAGCGUAUAUUAAAGUUGUUGCAGUUAAAAAGCUCGUAGUUGGAUUUCUGGUACAAUGCGCCUGGCCCGCUUUUGUGAGUGCCGGUGCGCGUUUGCCAUCCUUCUAGAAAACGUUUCUACCCGGGCAACUGGGCCGGAUCCGCGAUCUAGAUCUUUUACUUUGAAAAAAUUAGAGUGUUUAAAGCAGGCUUUUGCUGUGAAUACAUUAGCAUGGAAUAAUAAUCUAGGACUUCGGUUCUAUUUUGUUGGUUUCUAGUACUGAAGUAAUGAUUGAUAGGGAUAGUUGGGGGUGCUAGUAUUGGCCGGCCAGAGGUGAAAUUCUUGGAUUCGGUCAAGACUAACUUAUGCGAAAGCAUUCACCAAGGAUGUCUUCU
rnacentral:rRNA from 1 species